UACGGGGGGGGCAAGCGUUGUUCGGAAUUACUGGGCGUAAAGGGCUCGUAGGCGGCCAACUAAGUCAGACGUGAAAUCCCUCGGCUUAACCGGGGAACUGCGUCUGAUACUGGAUGGCUAGAGGUUGGGAGAGGGAUGCGGAAUUCCAGGUGUAGCGGUGAAAUGCGUAGAUAUCUGGAGGAACACCGGUGGCGAAGGCGGCAUCCUGGACCGAGAUUGACGCUGAGGCGCGAAAGCGUGGGGAGCAAACAGG
rnacentral:rRNA from 1 species